UUAAUCGAUGGGGGGACGCAGUAGGAUAGGCGAAGCGUGCGAUUGGAUUGCACGUCUAAGCAGUAAGGCUGAGUAUUAGGCAAAUCCGGUACUCGUUAAGGCUGAGCUGUGAUGGGGAGAAGACAUUGUGUCUUCGAGUCGUUGAUUUCACACUGCCGAGAAAAGCCUCUAGAUAGAAAAUAGGUGCCCGUACCGCAAACCGACACAGGUAGUCAAGAUGAGAAUUCUAAGGUGAGCGAGCGAACUCUCGUUAAGGAACUCGGCAAAAUGACCCCGUAACUUCGGGAGAAGGGGUGCUCUUUAGGGUUAACGCCCAGAAGAGCCGCAGUGAAUAGGCCCAAGCGACUGUUUAUCAAAAACACAGGUCUCUGCUAAACCGUAAGGUGAUGUAUAGGGGCUGACGCCUGCCCGGUGCUGGAAGGUUAAGAGGAGUGGUUAGCUUCUGCGAAGCUACGAAUCGAAGCCCCAGUAAACGGCGGCCGUAACUAUAACGGUCCUAAGGUAGCGAAAUUCCU
rnacentral:rRNA from 1 species